AUUCCAGCUCCAAUAGCGUAUAUUAAAGUUGUUGCGGUUAAAAAGCUCGUAGUUGGAUUUCUGCUAGGGACGAUCGGUCCACCCACUGGGUGUGUAUCUGUGUCGGCCUUGGCAUCUUCCUGGCGAACGCAACUGCACUUGACUGUGUGGUGCGGUAUCCAGGACUUUUACUUUGAGGAAAUUAGAGUGUUUCAAGCAGGCGCACGCCUUGAAUACAUUAGCAUGGAAUAAUAAGAUAGGACCUGAGUUCUAUUUUGUUGGUUUCUAGAGCUGAGGUAAUGAUUAAUAGGGAUAGUUGGGGGUGCUAGUAUUUUGCGGCCAGAGGUGAAAUUCUGUGAUUCGCGAAAGACUAACUUAUGCGAAAGCAUUCACCAAGGAUGUUUUCAUUA
rnacentral:rRNA from 1 species